UGGGGAAUUUUGGACAAUGGGCGAAAGCCUGAUCCAGCAAUGCCGCGUGUGUGAAGAAGGCCUUCGGGUUGUAAAGCACUUUUGUCCGGAAAGAAAUCCUUGGCUCUAAUACAGUCGGGGGAUGACGGUACCGGAAGAAUAAGCACCGGCUAACUACGUGCCAGCAGCCGCGGUAAUACGUAGGGUGCAAGCGUUAAUCGGAAUUACUGGGCGUAAAGCGUGCGCAGGCGGUUUGCUAAGACCGAUGUGAAAUCCCCGGGCUCAACCUGGGAACUGCAUUGGUGACUGGCAGGCUAGAGUAUGGCAGAGGGGGGUAGAAUUCCACGUGUAGCAGUGAAAUGCGUAGAGAUGUGGAGGAAUACCGAUGGCGAAGGCAGCCCCCUGGGCCAAUACUGACGCUCAUGCACGAAAGCGUGGGGAGCAAACAGGAUUAGAUACCCUGGUAGUCCACGCCCUAAAACGAUGUCAACUAGUUGUUGGGGAUUCAUUUCCUUAGUAACGUAGCUAACGCGUGAAGUUGACCGCCUGGGGAGUACGGUCGCAAGAUUAAAACUCAAAUGAAUUGACGGGUCAUAGCUGUUUCCU
rnacentral:rRNA from 1 species